rfam:Kazachstania naganishii CBS 8797 chromosome 11, complete genome
GCGGAUUUAGCUCAGUUGGGAGAGCGCCAGACUGAAGAUUUUACACUUCGGUCACAAAUAUGAAAUCUGGAGGUCCUGUGUUCGAUCCACAGAAUUCGCA